ACAAACGAACAUAACGACGUUAAUCAUGAUGAAAAGUUUGUUUUAGAAUAUGAGGCGUAGAGAGCGAGUAAAGUGCGUAAAAUAAAUAAAGUAAAGCGAGUGCGGGAAAUAAAUAAAGUAAAGCGAGUGCGGAAAAUAAAUAAAGUAAAGAGAGUGCGGAAAAUAAAUAAAAUAAAAGCAACACGAGAAAUAAAUAAAAUAAAAGCGAUGCGGGAAAUAAAUAAAAUAAAAGCGUUGUGGGAAAUAAAUAAAAUAAAAGCGAUGCGGGAAAUAAAUAAAUAAAGCGAUAAAU
rnacentral:lncRNA from 1 species